rnacentral:rRNA from 1 species
AGAGUUUGAUCAUGGCUCAGGAUGAACGCUGGCGGCGUAGCUUAACACAUGCAAGUCGAGCGAAGCGAUUCAAAUGAAGUUUCGGAUGGAUUUGAAUGACUUAGCGGCGGACGGGUGAGUAACGCGUGGGUAACCUGCCUCAGUACAGGGGGAUAACAGUUGGAAACGGCUGCUAAUACCGCAUAAGCACACAGUGCCGCAUGGUACGGUGUGAAAAACUCCGGUGGUAUGAGAUGGACCCGCGUCUGAUUAGGUAGUUGGUGAGGUAACGGCCCACCAAGCCCGACGAUCAGUAGCCGACCUGAGAGGGUGACCGGCCACAUUGGGACUGAGACACGGCCCAAACUCCUACGGGAGGCAGCAGUGGGGAAUAUUGGACAAUGGGGGAAACCCUGAUCCAGCCGACGCCGCGUGAGUGAAGAAGUAUUUCGGUAUGUAAAGCUCUAUCAGCAGGGAAGAAAAUGACGGUACCUGACUAAGAAGCCCCGGCUAACUACGUGCCAGCAGCUGC